GCUGGCGGUGCUCGAUUUGGCGAACGGGUGAGUAACACGUGGGUGAUCUGCCCUGCACUUUGGGAUAAGCUUGGGAAACUGGGUCUAAUACCGAAUAUGACUAUGGUGUGGUAGCCAUGGUGGAAAGCUUUUGCGGUGUGGGAUGAGCCUGCGGCCUAUCAGCUUGUUGGUGGGGUAAUGGCCUACCAAGGCGGCGACGGGUAUCCGGCCUGAGAGGGUGUACGGACACAUUGGGACUGAGAUACGGCCCAGACUCCUACGGGAGGCAGCAGUGGGGAAUAUUGCACAAUGGGCGCAAGCCUGAUGCAGCGACGCCGCGUGGGGGAUGAAGGCCUUCGGGUUGUAAACUCCUUUCGCUAUCGACGAAGCCACUUUGUGGUGACGGUAGGUAGAUAAGAAGCACCGGCUAACUACGUGCCAGCAGCCGCGGUAAUACGUAGGGUGCAAGCGUUGUCCGGAAUUACUGGGCGUAAAGAGCUCGUAGGUGGUUUGUCGCGUCGUCUGUGAAAUCCCGGGGCUUAACUUCGGGCGUGCAGGCGAUACGGGCAUAACUUGAGUGCUGUAGGGGGAGACUGGAAUUCCUGGUGUAGCGGGUGAAAUGCGGCACGAUAUCAGGAGGGAACACCGAUUGGCGACGGCCGGUCUCUGGGCCAGUUAACUGACGCUGAGGAGCGA
rnacentral:rRNA from 1 species